AACGCGAAGAACCUUACCUACCCUUGACAUGCUCGGAAUUUGCUAGAGAUAGUGAAGUGCCUUCGGGAGCCGAGACACAGGUGCUGCAUGGCUGUCGUCAGCUCGUGUCGUGAGAUGUUGGGUUAAGUCCCGUAACGAGCGCAACCCUUGUCCUUAGUUGCCAACAGGUAAAGCUGGGAACUCUAGGGAGACUGCCGGUGACAAGCCGGAGGAAGGUGGGGAUGACGUCAAGUCCUCAUGGCCCUUACGGGUAGGGCUACACACGUGUUACAAUGGGCAGUACAGAGGGAAGCGAAGCCGCGAGGUGUAGCAAAUCCUAAUAAAGCUGUUCGUAGUCCGGAUUGGAGUCUGCAACUCGACUCCAUGAAGUUGGAAUCGCUAGUAAUCGCGGAUCAGAACGCCGCGGUGAAUACGUUCCCGGGCCUUGUACACACCGUACGUC
rnacentral:rRNA from 1 species